rnacentral:rRNA from 1 species
UGCGAGUCAUUGUAGCAAUACAAGGCAGACGGCUCAGUAACGUGUAGUCAACCUAACCUAUGGACGGGAAUAACCUCGGGAAACUGAGUAUAAUGCCCGAUAGAACAUUAUGCCUGGAAUGGUUUAUGUUCCAAAUGAUUUAUCGCCGUAGGAUGGGACUGCGGCCUAUCAGUUUGUUGGUGAGGUAAUGGCCCACCAAGACUAUUACAGGUACGGGCUCUGAGAGGAGUAGCCCGGAGAUGGGUACUGAGACACGGACCCAGGCCCUAUGGGGCGCAGCAGGCGAGAAAACUUUGCAAUGUGCGAAAGCACGACAAGGUUAAUCCGAGUGGUUUCUGCUAAAGGAACCUUUUGUCGGUCCUAGAAACACCGAUGAAUAAGGAGUGGGCAAGUUCUGGUGUCAGCCGCCGCGGUAAAACCAGCACCUCAAGUGGUCAGGAUGAUUAUUGGGCCUAAAGCAUCCGUAGCCGGCGCUGUAAGUUUUCGGUUAAAUCUGUACGCUCAACGUACAGGCUGCCGGGAAUACUGCAGCGCCUAGGGGAGUGGGAGAGGUAGACGGUACUCGGUAGGAAGGGGUAAAAUCCUUUUGAUCUUAUUGAUGACCCACCCUGUGGCCGAAGGCGGUCUACCGGAACACGUUCCGACGGUGGAGGGACGAAAGCUGGGGGAGCAAACCGGAUUAGAUACCCGGGUAGUCCCAGCUGUAAACUAUGCAAACUCAGUGAUGCAUUGGCUUGUGGCCAAUGCAGUGCUGCAGGGAAGCCGUUAAGUUUGCCGCCUGGGAAGUACGUACGCAAGUAUGAAACUUAAAGGAAUUGGCGGGGG